CCACGCUGCUUCCCUCUCCCGAUUUCCCCCGACCCCGAGCCCUAACCGGCGCCGAACUCCCUCUCCCUCUCCGCGUACAAAAUCUCUCGGCCAAGGGCUUUCCCUUCUUUCGGUCUCCACCCUCUCGGCGCGAAGUUUCCGUGCCCGAGCCAGCCCCGGCCGACCGGCGACUUCCCCUCCUUUCCUUUGGUCCGACGAGACACCACCGGCACCGGAGCCCUAGGUUUUCCCUUCUCCUUCACCACCUCGCGGCGACUCCUUGCAUUGCCUUGCCUCUUCGUUUGCUGUCGCCGAAGGUGUGCCCUUGCCAGAUCCCUCUGCCGAAGCUUCUCCCUGUCCCUUCCUCUCUUCCGGCCGAGCAGUGUCACCAGUCUCCUGAGCCCUAGCGCCAACCGUCGUGCCUUAAUUCAUGACCGCCGCCCCUCUGCUGCAAUUUGGCAGCACGACCAUCACUGGUGAGCCUUGUCUGCCGACCUCAACAGCCCUUUCGGUGACUGCUGUUUGGGGUGAGGUGUUAAUGGUGGAUGGAGGAUAGAUUCAUCAUGGGUUUGGUUUCGGACCGGAGAAAAUAGUGCCAAAUCCUUUAUUGUGUUUCUGCUCGACAGUGCCGAAGAGGACACAGAGCUAUGCCGUAGCCGGAUCUUGGAGUGAAGAAUUUUCAGCAGCCAACGUCCCUUAAUGGCAGCAAGUUCCAGCCAGCAAUUCUUUGGUUUCAGUACAAACCGGUGGCUGUGAAUUAAGGACUUUGACACGAGACGAGCAUCUCGAUGUUGGAUUUGACUGGAUUGAACCUGCUAU